GUUGCUCUCGUAUUGUACCCUUUAAAUUAGAUGGUCAUCAAUCGAUUGUGGGUGUUUUCUUUUUUUGAGUUUGGUAGAGUUGAGUAUUUGCGAAAUGAUCUUAGAAGUGUUGAAAAUGAAGAAAUGGAAGGUGAUGAUCGGAGUGAAGACUUCGAGUCGUCUUCGAAACUUUAGAUCUUUGGGAAUGAUCUUUUGCUAGAUGUUUUAGGAAUGAUAUUUUGCUAGAUGUACUGUUUUAGGAAUGAUCUUUUGCUAUCAAACAAUUUAAAACUUAUGCAAACUCUCUUAAAAUGCAUGUAAACUUAACUAUGCAUAUUUGGGUUUUAACAUUUUGCUUUUAUGGAUA